rnacentral:rRNA from 2 species
AACUCUCGGCAAUGAAUAUCUUAGCUCUCAUAUAAAUGAAGAACGUAGCGAAAUGCGAUACUUGGUGUGAAUUGCAGAAUCACGUGAACCAUCGACUCUUAGAAUGCAUGUUGCACCCGAAGCCAUUAGGCCAAGGGCACUUCUGCCUGGGCGUCA